rnacentral:rRNA from 1 species
UACGUAGGGGGCAAGCGUUGUCCGGAUUCAUUGGGCGUAAAGAGCUCGUAGGCGGCUUGGCAAGUCGGGUGUGAAACCUCCAGGCUCAACCUGGAGACGCCACCCGAGACUGCUAUGGCUAGAGUCCGGUAGGGGAUCACGGAAUUCCUGGUGUAGCGGUGAAAUGCGUAGAUAUCGAGAGGAAUACCAAAGGCGAAGGCAGGUCACUGGGCAGUUACUGACACUGAGGCACGAAGGCUAGGGGAGCAAACGGG